rnacentral:snRNA from 1 species
CAUUGUCGAGAAGCCUGUUUCAAA